CCGGCUUUUUACAAGGUAACAAGGUCUGCUCAAUGAUCAAGCACAAGACCUUCAGCGAUUUUCCCAGAACCAUUGCGUCUUCAGCAGCAGUCCAGAGGAAUAUAAAGCUCACAAAGAAACACAGCACCACUUUGGUUUCAUAUGUUUAUUGCAAGAGAUUAAUUCAAUCAGGAUUGAUGCUAGACUGUCAGCUGGGCAACUGCUUCACCACCAUUUCAGUCUUCAAAGUGUUGGUCACAAAGUCUUAAAAGGGAAUGCUUUGGCUGCUGUUCAGUUUCUUCAAGACAAGGAAGUAAGAAUGGGAUGCAAGUAUUUACAGCGGUCAGAAGAUGGCAAACCACCACCAGCAGCUGCCUGGAGAGGCUCCAUUCCUCCAGAAUGCCAGAGUGAACAGAAGCACUUCCACCAAACACCUACAGCCUGGAGCAAAGAUGCUGUUGCAAACUCAAGUGGCUGUAUGAGGGCAGGUGUGCCAGAGGGAGGCUGUGCUUAUCAAAAUUUUGGAAAAAUACUAUAUCAAAUAAGUCAAAAUUGAAAGUUAAAGAUCAGUUAAAAACUGAACAUUGCUCAGCGUGGUAGUCCUGUUUUACAUUUUUUUUUUGGUGUUUUUUUUUUAGUCCCAAGGCUAUGACAGUUUCAUUCAACCUCUUCCUCCUAUCUAACAUUCCUCAAAGUUGACAUUUUCUUGUUUCUUUUUAACAGUUCAAAAGUCCUUCAUUUCUAAUUCCCAGUUAAAACCCUAUUUGCCACUUCAGUCUUGCAAUUACAAAUAAAUAUAAACAUACUUUACAAAUAGCAUAUGUAGGAUCUUACAAAUAGUAGGAUCUUAUGCUUACCAGUGUUUUACUGGGAAACAACAGCACAGAUUUUAUUACCUUAAUUUGUCAUGUUUCCAAAUGGGCAAAACAAAGCAACAAAAUAAGCAAGACAAAAUCACUGGGAAAAUGGCAAAUAAUCAGAUGCUUCUAAGGUAACAAGACUUGAGUCCACAUUUAUUCACCUGAACUCAUCCCAAGCAUCAAAGCACAGGAGGCUUAAUAAAACAUGAAGGUGAGAAAAUCUUCAUUAGAAUCUGAAGCCUGCUGUUACAUUUCAGAGAACAGCAAGGAAAAAGGUAUGAUAUUGCAUAUGAAAGUUUUAUAUAUACUAAAUGGAUCUGAAUUCCCAGAGGAGAAGUUUAUAUCGAAAUUCAGGCUAUAAGGAAAUGGCACCAGAUACAAACUCAAAAGCAAAAGACACCCUACCUGAUGCAGCUUCCCAUGACAGCAAAAAUGUCUGAAAGUCUGCAGUGAAA